rnacentral:rRNA from 1 species
GAUGAACGCUGGCGGCGUGCUUAACACAUGCAAGUCGAACGAAGCACUUAUCUUUGAUUCUUCGGAUGAAGAGGUUUGUGACUGAGUGGCGGACGGGUGAGUAACGCGUGGGUAACCUGCCUCAUACAGGGGGAUAACAGUUAGAAAUGACUGCUAAUACCGCAUAAGACCACGGAGCCGCAUGGCUCAGUGGGAAAAACUCCGGUGGUAUGAGAUGGACCCGCGUCUGAUUAGGUAGUUGGUGGGGUAACGGCCUACCAAGCCAACGAUCAGUAGCCGACCUGAGAGGGUGAUCGGCCACAUUGGGACUGAGACACGGCCCAAACUCCUACGGGAGGCAGCAGUGGGGAAUAUUGCACAAUGGGGGAAACCCUGAUGCAGCGACGCUGCGUGAGCGAAGAAGUAUUUCGGUAUGUAAAGCUCUAUCAGCAGGGAAGAAAAUGACGGUA